AUCAACAUGAACGAGCAGAAAGCGAGAAAUGGAAAGAGUCUGUCAGCACCCACUCAGUGUUAAUUCCUCAUCAUUCAACUCCAACAGAAACACCACAGCAGCUCCGGAUGGACCCCAUGUGGGCAGUAUUGGUUCUGUAUCCCACAAUGCAUCAGCUUUAACCACCUACAGUUAGACAGUAAGUGUCCAUCCAAACCUUCCUGUGGGAUACUACAGGCAUCCAUGUGGCCA
ensembl:lncRNA